rnacentral:lncRNA from 1 species
UGAGCUUGAACUCGAGGGUUCAUACCAAGCGGCAUAAAUUCAAGAGAAGUUAUCUGAUCCGACUCGAGUGAUUAAUUUCUGCUAUCGUUCGAGUUAUUUAUACAAGGUAAAUUGUGGGUUUACAUUUUUACCCCAAUUUUCCUUUUCUUUUCAUAUGGUGGUGGGAAUUGGGAAAUUUGAGGAAUGAGAUAUUUUUUUAGGCCAUCUUAGUUGUAUUGUAUUUAAUUUACGUGCAUUAUAUUAUGCACUAGAAAAAAAGGUUCAAUUUUACAAUGCUCCAAGGAUGCUAAGGAGAUGGCUACAAUCGAGUCGUCCCGAGUUGGAUCGGAGUGGAGGUCGCGAGUUGAUGAUGAUCAUUAUUUAUUUUCAUUUCCGGUAACUAUUGUAAACCAUUGUGUAUGUAAUCUUAUUCAUGUUCAUGAAAUGAAAUGGAACUGUAGAGAAUAUUUAAUUUUCAAAUUUCUUCGUACUUUCCC